rnacentral:pre_miRNA from 1 species
AUCUCCCAGGGAUCUUGUUAACAUGCAGAUUCUGAUUCAGCAGGUCUGGGGUGGGGCCUGAGAGUCUGCAUUUCCAGCAAGUCCCAAGUGAUGCUGA